AUUUAAAUAGCUUAAAUUAAAGCAAAGCUUUGAAGAAGCUUAGAUGAUUUAGAUCUUUAAAU
rnacentral:tRNA from 1 species